CAUUGGCUGCUGAGAAGAUCAGAAACUAGACGGGUGGAUUCUUGGUAGUAUUAAUGUACGAAAACUGCAAGCAAAUGAAAGCCUCCGGGUGUUUGAUCUAUCAAUCAGGGGACCCUACGGUGAAGCCAAGCCUAAACUAUUAAAGCCUUAUUGUUGAAUGUAAAUGUUUCCUAACCAUUUUGUAUUGUUUCCAAAUCCAAUACUUGUCUCUAUUUUUUCAAUAGGUUUUGUUCAGUUAUUCCCAAGUUUGGAAGAUAAAGAGUAGGUAGACCAAGGCAAUGACUCAGAGAUGGAUUAGAAGAACAAACUCGAUUGCUAAGUCUUUGGGGGAAGAAGACUGUAUGUUCCUGGGCUUGUAUAGAAACCAGGAGACCGGUGCCAUAAUUCUGGGUUUUUUAUUCUUUCCGUGGGUGAUGUAUCUUUCUCAGCAAGAGCAAUAUUGAUAUAAACCAGCUACUGGAGUAUCACCUACUGUGAUGUCUAAACCAAGCCGGGACUAACAAUGCAGUGCUGAAAAUGCUAGCAGCCUCUCUCUAUUAGCAUUCUCGACUUUCUUACUGUGGAAGAAGAUGUGAUCACUGGAAAUUUUGCCAAAAAGUUUCAGAUACGGUUACACAGAGACUGUUUCAGGCACUACUAGGCAAAGCCAACCAUAGGGUGGAGCGUGAUUAACCAGCUGGCACUCUGCACCUUACAGCAGGAGGAAACUGUGGAGGAAGGAGAAAGGAGAAGAGAAUUACUCAAUCUGAAAUAUCUGGCAGAACACAACAUUAAUCCCUCCCCAGGGUAAAAUAUCAUCCAAAUUUCACUUUUGCAUCUGAUGUGGAAGAGAGUGUGAGCAGCAUGGGGUCCUCCUGCCGCUUCAUGACAUUGAAGGGUUUGCUAGCUAAGGACCAAAGCAGAGAAACGAGCGUCACUUCUCAUUGCAAAUAUUACUUCCUUCACUAGUCUGUGGUUUUCAGGUCCUUAAUCUAAUUGGUCUUUCUUCACAGCUGAAAUCUGCUCAAAGUUGUCCCAGAUUUGUGCCGCUGAAGCCUUAAUAUAAGGUGCCCAUGUUUUUAAACUAAAACACCAUGGACAGGGUCACAGAACGGUCCUAAAAAAGUGCCCUUUCAGAAACUGUCGGUUCUGCUAGAUUUUGACUCAGUAAUGUGUAUGUGCUGUUUUAAUGUCCUGAAUAAAGCUAUCAUCAACACACUGAAUCA
rnacentral:lncRNA from 1 species